CGCGCAGGCGGCCUUCCAAGUCAGAUGUGAAAGCCCCGGGCUCAACCUGGGAAUUGCAUUUGGGACUGGGAGGCUAGAGUUCGGGAGAGGAGAGUGGAAUUCCCAGUGUAGAGGUGAAAUUCGUAGAUAUUGGGAAGAACACCGGUGGCGAAGGCGGCUCUCUGGACCGAUACUGACGCUGAGGCGCGAAAGCGUGGGGAGCAAACAGGAUUAGAUACCCUGGUAGUCCACGCUGUAAACGAUGUGUGCUAGACGUUGGGGAGCCUAGCUUCCCGGUGUCGCAGCUAACGCGUUAAGCACACCGCCUGGGGAGUACGGCCGCAAGGUUAAA
rnacentral:rRNA from 1 species